rnacentral:rRNA from 1 species
GAUGAACGCUAGCGGCAGGCUUAACACAUGCAAGUCGAGGGGCAGCGGGAGUAGCAAUACUUGCCGGCGACCGGCGCACGGGUGCGUAACGCGUAUGCAACCUACCUAUAACAGGGGGAUAAUCUGGAGAAAUCUGGUCUAAUACCCCAUAACCCUUAGUAAGGCAUCUUAUUGAGUUGAAAUUUUCGGAGGUUAUAGAUGGGCAUGCGUGACAUUAGCUAGUUGGUACGGUAACGGCGUACCAAGGCGACGAUGUCUAGGGGGACUGAGAGGUUUACCCCCCACACUGGUACUGAGACACGGACCAGACUCCUACGGGAGGCAGCAGUGAGGAAUAUUGGUCAAUGGGCGAAAGCCUGAACCAGCCAUGCCGCGUGCAGGAUGACGGCUCUAUGAGUUGUAAACUGCUUUUGUACGAGGGUAAAGUGGGUUACGUGUAACCUUUUGAAAGUAUCGUACGAAUAAGGAUCGGCUAACUCCGUGCCAGCAGCCGCCGUAAAAC